GAAAUGCGAUAAGUAGUGUGAAUUGCAGAAUUCAGUGAAUCAUCGAAUCUUUGAACGCACAUUGCGCCCCUUGGUAUUCCAUGGGGCAUGCCUGUUCGAGCGUCAUUUGUACCUUCAAGCUAUGCUUGGUGUUGGGUGUUUGUCUUUGCUCUCAUGCUUAGACUUGCCCUAAAUACAUUGGCAGCUAAUAUAUUGGUUUGAAGCGCAGCACAAUUUGCCUUUGAGCCUGUUAUUAUUCGCUUCCAUUAAGCCUAUUUAACACUUUGACCUCGGAUCAGGUAGGGAUACCCGCUGAACUUAA
rnacentral:misc_RNA from 1 species